rnacentral:rRNA from 1 species
GAAUGCUGACAUAAGUAACGAUAAAGCGGGUGAAAAGCCCGCUCGCCGGAAGACCAAGGGUUCCUGUCCAACGUUAAUCGGGGCAGGGUGAGUCGACCCCUAAGGCGAGGCCGAAAGGCGUAGUCGAUGGGAAACAGGUUAAUAUUCCUGUACUUGGUGUUACUGCGAAGGGGGGACGGAGAAGGCUAUGUUGGCCGGGCGACGGUUGUCCCGGUUUAAGCGUGUAGGCUGGUUUUCCAGGCAAAUCCGGAAAAUCAAGGCUGAGGCGUGAUGACGAGGCACUACGGUGCUGAAGCGACAAAUGCCCUGCUUCCAGGAAAAGCCUCUAAGCAUCAGGUAACAUCAAAUCGUACCCCAAACCGACACAGGUGGUCAGGUAGAGAAUACCAAGGCGCUUGAGAGAACUCGGGUGAAGGAACUAGGCAAAAUGGUGCCGUAACUUCGGGAGAAGGCACGCUGAUAUGUAGGUGAAGCGACUUGCUCGUGGAGCUGAAAUCAGUCGAAGAUACCAGCUGGCUGCAACUGUUUAUUAAAAACACAGCACUGUGCAAACACGAAAGUGGACGUAUACGGUGUGACGCCUGCCCGGUGCCGGAAGGUUAAUUGAUGGGGUUAGCGGUAACGCGAAGCUCUUGAUCGAAGCCCCGGUAAACGGCGGCCGUAACUAUAACGGUCCUAAGGUAGCGAAAUUCCUUGUCGGGUAAGUUCCGACCUGCACGAAUGGCGUAAUGAUGGCCAGGCUGUCUCCACCCGAGACUCAGUGAAAUUGAACUCGCUGUGAAGAUGCAGUGUACCCGCGGCAAGACGGAAAGACCCCGUGAACCUUUACUAUAGCUUGACACUGAACAUUGAGCCUUGAUGUGUAGGAUAGGUGGGAGGCUUUGAAGUGUGGACGCCAGUCUGCAUGGAGCCGACCUUGAAAUACCACCCUUUAAUGUUUGAUGUUCUAACGUGGGCCCCUUACCGGGGUUGCGGACAGUGUCUGGUGGGUAGUUUGACUGGGGCGGUCUCCUCCUAAAGAGUAACGGAGGAGCACGAAGGUUGGCUAAUCCUGGUCGGACAUCAGGAGGUUAGUGCAAUGGCAUAAGCCAGCUUGACUGCGAGCGUGACGGCGCGAGCAGGUGCGAAAGCAGGUCAUAGUGAUCCGGUGGUUCUGAAUGGAAGGGCCAUCGCUCAACGGAUAAAAGGUACUCCGGGGAUAACAGGCUGAUACCGCCCAAGAGUUCAUAUCGACGGCGGUGUUUGGCACCUCGAUGUCGGCUCAUCACAUCCUGGGGCUGAAGUAGGUCCCAAGGGUAUGGCUGUUCGCCAUUUAAAGUGGUACGCGAGCUGGGUUUAGAACGUCGUGAGACAGUUCGGUCCCUAUCUGCCGUGGGCGCUGGAGAACUGAGGGGGGCUGCUCCUAGUACGAGAGGACCGGAGUGGACGCAUCACUGGUGUUCGGGUUGUCAUGCCAAUGGCACUGCCCGGUAGCUAAAUGCGGAAGAGAUAAGUGCUGAAAGCAUCUAAGCACGAAACUUGCCCCGAGAUGAGUUCUCCCUGACUCCUUGAGAGUCCUGAAGGAACGUUGAAGACGACGACGUUGAUAGGCCGGGUGUGUAA